rnacentral:tRNA from 1 species
AGCUUUAUAGUCAUAAUUAAAUGAUAUUAGACUGCAAUUCUAAAGGAGUAAAUUUACUAAAGCUU